UACGUAGGGUGCGAGCGUUAAUCGGAAUUACUGGGCGUAAAGCGUGCGCAGGCGGUCUGUUAAGUCUGAUGUGAAAGCCCCGGGCUCAACCUGGGAACUGCAUUGGAAACUGGCAAGCUCGAGUAUGGCAGAGGGGGGUGGAAUUCCGCGUGUAGCAGUGAAAUGCGUAGAGAUGCGGAGGAACACCGAUGGCGAAGGCAGCCCCCUGGGCCAAUACUGACGCUCAGGCACGAAAGCGUGGGGAGCAAACAGG
rnacentral:rRNA from 1 species